ACUUCAUCAAGAGCGGUCGAGGGAACGGCCCUGCGACACCGCGGCAACCACCCAUCCGGGCAGGUGCCAAAUCCGUCCGGCGUGACCGCGCCGGGAAGAUGAGGC
rnacentral:ncRNA from 20 species